rnacentral:ncRNA from 1 species
GAGAGCCGUAUACUCUGAGAGGAGUACGUACGGUUCGGUGGGGAGUGUCUGGAAACCUACUGUAGAGAUACAGAAAGGCGCUGGAUGCUUACCCUAC